rnacentral:rRNA from 1 species
UUCCGGUUGAUCCCGCCGGAGGUCACUGCUAUCGGUGUUCGACUAAGCCAUGCGAGUCAAAUGUUCUUCGUGAACAUGGCGUACUGCUCAGUAACACGUGGAUAACCUGCCCUUAGGUCUGGCAUAACCCCGGGAAACUGGGGAUAAUUCCGGAUAGAUCAUGGAUGCUGGAAUGCACCGUGGUCGAAAGCUUUUGUGCCUAAGGAUGGGUCUGCGGUCUAUCAGGUUGUAGUGGGUGUAACGUACCUACUAGCCUACGACGGAUACGGGUUGUGGGAGCAAGAGCCCGGAGAUGGAUUCUGAGACAUGAAUCCAGGCCCUACGGGGCGCAGCAGGCGCGAAAACUUUACAAUGCGGGAAACCGCGAUAAGGGGACACCGAGUGCCAGCAUCCUAUGUUGGCUGUCCAUAUGUAUAAAUAACAUGUGUUAGCAAGGGCCGGGCAAGACCGGUGCCAGCCGCCGCGGUAACACCGGCGGCCCGAGUGGUGGCCACUAUUAUUGGGUCUAAAGGGUCCGUAGCCGGUUUGGUCAGUCUUCCGGGAAAUCUGACGGCUUAACCGUUAGGCUUUCGGGGGAUACUGCCAGGCUUGGGACCGGGAGAGGUAAGAGGUACUACGGGGGUAGGAGUGAAAUCUUGUAAUCCCUGUGGGACCACCAGUGGCGAAGGCGUCUUACCAGAACGGGUCCGACGGUGAGGGACGAAAGCUGGGGGCACGAACCGGAUUAGAUACCCGGGUAGUCCCAGCCGUAAACUAUGCUCGCUAGGUGUCAGGGACGGUGCGACCUUUUCUGGUGCCGUAGGGAAGCCGUGAAGCGAGCCACCUGGGAAGUACGGUCGCAAGGCUGAAACUUAAAGGAAUUGGCGGGGGAGCACUACAA